GCUGUCAGUUGUUAAUUAUAGUGCUGCAUUUCAACUUCAUACUUCCCAGGGGGCCAAACCAUGCUAUUAGACCAAAACCAGCUCCCAGUGGAAUAUUUUUGGAGACUCUGCUAGAAGUAAGCCUGUGCCUCUAUCAGCCAGGUUGAGACAUUCCUGACUGCUCUCUGGAGACUGGAACUGCACUUGCUGCUCUAAGACCCGCACCUGCAUUUGUUACCCUUCAGAGCCAACAUUCCCGCUCUCUCUCAGGAUAUUCUGGGAUUCUCUGAAUCACACAACCAUGACCACCAGGCCUGGAGGACCCACACAUUCCUCUCAGAGAAGAAGGUAUUCCCAUGAAGUUGCCACAUGAGUGGUCAGAUCAAGUAUUUGUUUAAUUGUGACUGCUUUGCCUGCUCUGCACUAACUGCAGGAAUCACAAAAGUGCAGCAGAAGGACUGUGGAUGACUUUGGCUUCUUCUUCCAGCCACCUCAGUGACCCAUCAGAUCCUUGCUCUGACCCCCCAAAGUCUGUGCAAUGCAAAACAAACCUUGCAGUGCUGAAAUAAUCACAGCCCCUAAUUACAGCCCCAGAGGGACUGUGCAAAGAAACCCAGUACCUUUCUGCCCAGGACAAUAAAGCUGUAGCAAAGCUGCCUCAGAAGAUGAUGCCAAGCAGAGAACCACUGUGGCACUCGGUGUGAGGUCAGCAACUUGAGCUUCAAAUGGUUUCAAUUAAAAUCAA